rnacentral:rRNA from 1 species
UACAGAGGUGCCAAGCGUUAGGCGGAAUCACUGGGCUUAAAGCGCGUGUAGGCGGGUCGUAAGUGUCUUGUGAAAUCCCACCGCUCAACGGUGGAACUGCUGGGCAUACUGGCGAUCUUGAGCCACCUAGGGGCAGACGGAACAAGCGGUGGAGCGGUGAAAUGCGUAGAUAUCGCUGGAACGCCGACGGUGAAAACAAGUCUGCUGGGGUGUGCUGACGCUGGAGACACGAAAGCCAGGGGAGGCGAACGGG